rnacentral:lncRNA from 1 species
GCUUACACCGUCGUUUUUGCUCCCUUUUGGCUGCCUGUGCUGCCGCGUUCGAUUCGCCGCUGCUUGGUCUCGUUUGGUUCCAUCCGCUAUGGCAGAGGGCCGGGAUUUGCACGGCGUGGAUCGCUGCUUCCAUGGUUCUUGAACCUGUUCAUCAGCACAGCAAAGGUCUUCCGCGGCGGCAGCUCGCGUGCGGACCCCCCUGUCUUUCCUUCGCUUUCUGGAUCGACUCGUUCGUGUCUUCUCUGUCUCGUCCUCCUCUCGUACUUGCUUCGUCCUUGUUGUCCCACGGCGUUCGCGGGCCUCUUCGUCCGAGGCGCUAUGUUUACUGUGAACACGUCGCACAUCCUGCUUCUGAAUGUAGCCACGGAACGCUGCAUGCUUCCACCGCCCUAUUAUCUAUGGGAGUUUGACUCAGGCGAUAGGUUGUUGGCUGGAAUUGAGCUUGUCUUCCCAGCAUAUGCAGCCCCAGCUUAGUUAGACACCGUUUUUCUCUGGUCUGUAGCCUGUGACCCUCUCCAGAGCGUGCACGAGCCUGCAGCCAUGGAGGCUGUCAGGUACCUGCAGCGGCAAUAUGGUUUUCUUGUGCGCGACUAUAAUUUCCAAUCUAUGUUAGCAUAUAGAACGAUAGCAAAGUGUGCUGUUGAGACUGCGUUGUUGGCUUGUGGGUGUAUCACGCGAUAUAGAUCGUGCUGCUCACACACGCCUCCACGUUGUGAUGAUAUCAUUCAGUCGUGUGCUUCGCUGUGGUUUAAUCUUU